rnacentral:tRNA from 2 species
GCCGAUGUGGCUCAGGGGUAGAGCAGCGCACUCGUAAUGCGCAGGUCGUCGGUUCGAAUCCGACCAUCGGCUCCA